AUGAGCAAGAGAGGAAGAAAGAGAACCACUUUCCCCGGCUUGCUGGUUGGGAACAGGUGGUAACCUCCUUGCUUCUUCUGUCCCCACAGCCUACUGCACCCCUGAGAAGAGAGCUUCCCCUCAAGCCCCUCAGCUCCGACUUCCCAGCCUGACAACUGUUCAGGGGAGCUCUUGCGAUGCUGCACAGGGGGCGACCAGAUUCUCAGGGCCCAAACCAGCUGCCAGGCAAGCCUCUCUCUGUUGGCUCUUCUCCGAGCUCCUGGACACUGGCAGGAUCCUUAUGACCAUCAUCUCAGACAGAAGAACAAGAACAGUAAAGCCACUGAAGGACCUGCUCAACCCUUCUAAUCAAAAAUGUGCAUGAGUGAUCUAUCAAAGUACCUCUUGGCACAUGUGACUCACAAAUCCUUGAGAAGUUGUUAAGUGAGCCUUGAAUCUGCGGACCUGAUGACUACAUUCUGAUAGGAAUGGAGGUAUCUCUUCAGGGAACUGU
ensembl:lncRNA